rnacentral:rRNA from 1 species
AUCGAACGCUGGCGGCAGGCCUAACACAUGCAAGUCGAGCGGAGCGGCGGACGGGUGAGUAAUGCCUAGGACUCUGACUGGCCGUGGGCGAUAACGUCCGGAAACGGUCGCUAAUACCGUAUACUAUCAGAUGAGCUUAGGUUGGUUUAGCUAGUUGGUGGGGUAAAGGCCUACCAAGGCGACGAUACGUAACUGGUCUGGGAGGAUGAGCAGUCACACUGGAACUAAGACACGGUCCAGACUCCUAAGGUAGGCAGCGGUGGGGAAUAUUGGACAAUGGGCGAAAGCCUGAUCCAGCCAUGGCGCGUGUGUGAAGAAGGUCUUCGGAUUGUAAAGCAUUUAAAGUUGGGAGGCGUUACCAACAGAAUAAGCACCGGCUAACUUCGUGCCAGCAGCCGCGGUAAUUC